rnacentral:rRNA from 1 species
GGUUAAGCGACUAAGCGUACACGGUGGAUGCCCUGGCAGUCAGAGGCGAUGAAGGACGUGCUAAUCUGCGAUAAGCGUCGGUAAGGUGAUAUGAACCGUUAUAACCGGCGAUUUCCGAAUGGGGAAACCCAGUGUGUUUCGACACACUAUCAUUAACUGAAUCCAUAGGUUAAUGAGGCGAACCGGGGGAACUGAAACAUCUAAGUACCCCGAGGAAAAGAAAUCAACCGAGAUUCCCCCAGUAGCGGCGAGCGAACGGGGAGCAGCCCAGAGCCUGAAUCAGUGUGUGUGUUAGUGGAAGCGUCUGGAAAGGCGCGCGAUACAGGGUGACAGCCCCGUACACAAAAAUGCACAUAUUGUGAGCUCGAUGAGUAGGGCGGGACACGUGGUAUCCUGUCUGAAUAUGGGGGGACCAUCCUCCAAGGCUAAAUACUCCUGACUGACCGAUAGUGAACCAGUACCGUGAGGGAAAGGCGAAAAGAACCCCGGCGAGGGGAGUGAAAAAGAACCUGAAACCGUGUACGUACAAGCAGUGGGAGCACGCUUCGGCGUGUGACUGCGUACCUUUUGUAUAAUGGGUCAGCGACUUAUAUUCUGUAGCAAGGUUAACCGAAUAGGGGAGCCGAAGGGAAACCGAGUCUUAACUGGGCGUUAAGUUGCAGGGUAUAGACCCGAAACCCGGUGAUCUAGCCAUGGGCAGGUUGAAGGUUGGGUAACACUAACUGGAGGACCGAACCGACUAAUGUUGAAAAAUUAGCGGAUGACUUGUGGCUGGGGGUGAAAGGCCAAUCAAACCGGGAGAUAGCUGGUUCUCCCCGAAAGCUAUUUAGGUAGCGCCUCGUGAAUUCAUCUCCGGGGGUAGAGCACUGUUUCGGCAAGGGGGUCAUCCCGACUUACCAACCCGAUGCAAACUGCGAAUACCGGAGAAUGUUAUCACGGGAGACACACGGCGGGUGCUAACGUCCGUCGUGAAGAGGGAAACAACCCAGACCGCCAGCUAAGGUCCCAAAGUCAUGGUUAAGUGGGAAACGAUGUGGGAAGGCCCAGACAGCCAGGAUGUUGGCUUAGAAGCAGCCAUCAUUUAAAGAAAGCGUAAUAGCUCACUGGUCGAGUCGGCCUGCGCGGAAGAUGUAACGGGGCUAAACCAUGCACCGAAGCUGCGGCAGCGACGCUUAUGCGUUGUUGGGUAGGGGAGCGUUCUGUAAGCCUGCGAAGGUGUGCUGUGAGGCAUGCUGGAGGUAUCAGAAGUGCGAAUGCUGACAUAAGUAACGAUAAAGCGGGUGAAAAGCCCGCUCGCCGGAAGACCAAGGGUUCCUGUCCAACGUUAAUCGGGGCAGGGUGAGUCGACCCCUAAGGCGAGGCCGAAAGGCGUAGUCGAUGGGAAACAGGUUAAUAUUCCUGUACUUGGUGUUACUGCGAAGGGGGGACGGAGAAGGCUAUGUUGGCCGGGCGACGGUUGUCCCGGUUUAAGCGUGUAGGCUGGUUUUCCAGGCAAAUCCGGAAAAUCAAGGCUGAGGCGUGAUGACGAGGCACUACGGUGCUGAAGCAACAAAUGCCCUGCUUCCAGGAAAAGCCUCUAAGCAUCAGGUAACAUCAAAUCGUACCCCAAACCGACACAGGUGGUCAGGUAGAGAAUACCAAGGCGCUUGAGAGAACUCGGGUGAAGGAACUAGGCAAAAUGGUGCCGUAACUUCGGGAGAAGGCACGCUGAUAUGUAGGUGAAGUCCCUCGCGGAUGGAGCUGAAAUCAGUCGAAGAUACCAGCUGGCUGCAACUGUUUAUUAAAAACACAGCACUGUGCAAACACGAAAGUGGACGUAUACGGUGUGACGCCUGCCCGGUGCCGGAAGGUUAAUUGAUGGGGUUAGCCGCAAGGCGAAGCUCUUGAUCGAAGCCCCGGUAAACGGCGGCCGUAACUAUAACGGUCCUAAGGUAGCGAAAUUCCUUGUCGGGUAAGUUCCGACCUGCACGAAUGGCGUAAUGAUGGCCAGGCUGUCUCCACCCGAGACUCAGUGAAAUUGAACUCGCUGUGAAGAUGCAGUGUACCCGCGGCAAGACGGAAAGACCCCGUGAACCUUUACUAUAGCUUGACACUGAACAUUGAGCCUUGAUGUGUAGGAUAGGUGGGAGGCUUUGAAGUGUGGACGCCAGUCUGCAUGGAGCCGACCUUGAAAUACCACCCUUUAAUGUUUGAUGUUCUAACGUUGACCCGUAAUCCGGGUUGCGGACAGUGUCUGGUGGGUAGUUUGACUGGGGCGGUCUCCUCCUAAAGAGUAACGGAGGAGCACGAAGGUUGGCUAAUCCUGGUCGGACAUCAGGAGGUUAGUGCAAUGGCAUAAGCCAGCUUGACUGCGAGCGUGACGGCGCGAGCAGGUGCGAAAGCAGGUCAUAGUGAUCCGGUGGUUCUGAAUGGAAGGGCCAUCGCUCAACGGAUAAAAGGUACUCCGGGGAUAACAGGCUGAUACCGCCCAAGAGUUCAUAUCGACGGCGGUGUUUGGCACCUCGAUGUCGGCUCAUCACAUCCUGGGGCUGAAGUAGGUCCCAAGGGUAUGGCUGUUCGCCAUUUAAAGUGGUACGCGAGCUGGGUUUAGAAAGUCGUGAGGCAGUUCGGUCGCUAUCUGCCGUGGGCGCUGGAGAAUUGAGGGGGGCUGCUCCUAGUACGAGAGGACCGGAGUGUACGAAUCACUGGUGUUCGGGUUGUCAUGCCAAUGGCACUGCCCGGUAGCUAAAUGCGGAAGAGAUAAGUGCUGAAAGCAUCUAAGCACGAAACUUGCCCCGAGAUGAGUUCUCCCUGACUCCUUGAGAGUCCUGAAGGAACGUUGAAGACGACGACGUUGAUAGGCCGGGUGUGUAAGCGCAGCGAUGCGUUGAGCUAACCGGUACUAAUGAACCGUGAGGCUUAACCUU